CCCCUCCUGGGUUCCAGACACUGGCUUUAUAUAGACGGUCACUUCCACCCUUAGGGGAAGGAGGUCAGGAGGAGGGCAAUUCUAUCGACUGCUUCUCAAUCACCUCCUAGGUGAAUGCAAAGGUAUGCAUGCGCACGUGUGAACCUUUUCAUUAGCAAACCUCCGUGCACGCAAAAACACUCCAAGUUGUGUACGUGAGUGAUUAAAACAAUCGGCUCAGACAAUGCAAGAAAACCACGAGAGAGAACGCCCAGCCGCGGACGCGCUACCAGGACGUCCUUCUCUUUUUUUCCUAAUGAACCUGGGCCAUGCCCCGGAACGUCCUUCCCUUGCUAAGGUAACCUCCGAAGCCUACGUUUUCCUGCAGGAGAAGGAUCGCCCGGUCAGCGACGGCCAGCGUCCCUGGCGGCCCGCGACCUUCCCGCCCCGCCCCCCGGCCCGCCGCGGACAAAGCGGCGCCCCUGCUCCCCGCGCGGCCUGACCAGGCGCUGCACAAAGCGCCGCACUUCCGGCCCGCGCCCGCCCGGAGCCGCCGCCCCCAUGCUUCCCGUACUCACGGUAGCCUGCGCCUCCGGGACCGGCGCGCGCCGGCCCGAGCCGGCACGGCGUGUGGCUCGGCGACGGGCAGUGCCCAGACGACGCUCGGUUGCGGCUGACCGCUAGGCCCGCGCUGCCUCCCGCCCGCCUCGCCGCGGCCCCCGCUACCGCCGACGCUGCGCAGACACCGCAGCCCACGACCUCACUUCCGCCCGCCGCGCGCCAGACGGGGGCGCGCCGGGCACGUGAUGCAGUUGCGCGCGCGCGCCCCCGCCCCCGCCCCCGCCCCCGAGAGGCGUGCGCGAGGUGCCCGGAUGCUGGGACGCUUACCUCGGCUGCGAUCCUCAGCACAGGUUCCUGUUAAAACCCGGUUGGAAACGGAGUCAUGGAACGUAGUCAUGGUCCGUAGUGACUUCGGAAGGAGAUGUACGCCGGUUCGCAUUAUGUUUACUCAAUAAUUCCUUUUUCCGUUUUUUCUUUUAAGCUUUUCUCCUGUUUUGUUGUUUCGUUUUGGAUCAGGAUGGGCUUUAAUUUACAGAUCUGCCUCUAGAGUACUGGCCUUAAAGCGACAGCCACCGUGCACAGUUCUAAGAUUUUAUUUUUAAUGUGCGUGUAAGUGUGUAGCUGUGGGAGGAGGUGUUGCUCACAAGAGUGCUGGCGUGUGAUCCUCUCUAGCUGGAGUCACGGGUGGAGGGGGCGUUGUUCGAGCUUUCCUAUUUGGGGUGAUGCUGGAAACUGCUCUGAGCCAUCUCUGAACUCCCCAUGACCCCUUUUAAAGAUGUAUUCAUCUUGUGUGUGAGUGAGUGUUUCGCCAGCAUGUAUGUAUGUAUGUGCACUGCCAUGUACCUGCUUAACGCCUACAGAGAUCAGAAGAGGGAGUUACAGAUGUUUAUGAACCAUCAUGUGAAUAGAACCCAGAUGCUCUAUAAGAGCAAGCAGCAAACGGGAGGCAGAGGCGGGGGAUCUCUGAGUUAGAGGCCAACCUUAUCUAAGGAUCGAAUAUCCAGAAAGCCAGAGCGAGGCAGAAAAACUGUCUAGGGAAGAAAAAAAACCACUGAGGUGCCUCUGUACUCUCUUUGCCUUUUGAUCUCUCAGCUCCAAGGCCAGUACAAGAUUUUUACUCUGAUAAGCUUGCAUCUGUCAGAGAGCUAGGAAAUACUAAGCACUUAGGGUAAGCUCCAAAUCUCACUGGCUUCACAGAGCCAAAAAAUCAAUGCAAAAUAUACGUACCAGGAAAUGUUUGGGAUUAGAGAAAAGUGAAGACCGGGCUAUUAAACUUCCUACCAGAUAUGAAACCAUAUUUAAAGACUGCAGCCGAUAAGCUCACUAGUGCACAGAUAAUGAACCAUAUUAUAUUAUAAUUCCAUAUUAUAUUAUAAUGGGAUAUAAUAGAAAGUCCAGAAGUAUAUUACAGCAAUUGGGAGUUGAUAUUUGAGAAAGUAUUUCAUAUCACUAGGUGUUAUUAUUUGGAUCUUGAAGUUUCAAAAAAAAAUUCUAAAUGUUGAUGUCUUGGCUGCUAACCUGACAGCUGACCCUGUGUAGGCUAGACAGACUCAGAGAUUUGCCUACCUCUGACCCUUGAGUGCUAGGAUUAAGGAUAUGGACCACUGGGGGUUGGGGAUUUAGCUCAGCGGUAGAGCGCUUGCCUAGCAAGCGCAAGGCCCUGGGUUCAGUCCUCAGCUCCGGAAAAAAAAAAAAAAAAAAGAAAAGGAUAUGGACCACUGAUCGUUAAAUAAAUAGUAUGGGGGGAGCUAAAAUUUAACCAGCGUAAACAGUAUAAAUUGUAUCUAUAACUCAUGUACCAGGAUAGAUUCCAAUUUUUAAAAAAGGCAUAUAUUUUUUAACAGUGGAAACAUAAAAAGAGAAGAGAACAUGGGGAGAUUUCUUUUUAAAUAUGGAGUAAAGGGCUGGAGAGAUGAUGGCUCAGCAGUUAAGAGCACUGACUACUCUUCCAGAGGUCCUAAGUUCAAUUCCCAGCAACCACAUAGUGGCUCACAACCAUCGGUAAUGAGAUCCGAUUCCCUCUUCUGGUGUGUCUGAGGACAGCUACAGUGUACUUAUAUAUAAUAAAUAAAUAAAUCUCUUUAAAAA